UUCGUAAUAUUUAAAAAAAGGCUUAACCUAACGAUUUAUAUAGGUAUAUUUAUAAUGCGUAAAUAAUUUAUGAUAAACAGGAAUGUAGAUGUCGUAAAAAAUAAUAUCUUAAAGUGCUUACUCAUAUUACUGCCGUCAUACGGAGAAAGGACGCAUCUGACGUUUUUAUCGAAAAUGAGUUUCAUACUGAUUCGGAAUCAGGAGAAUAAGACACAUCUGCUAGUAUUUUUAAAGUUUGCUAAAACAAACGCAACCUAUAAAAUCUAACUGCAAAAUAGGACGUAUCUGCAAUAUUUCACUAAUAAUACUAAUUUGGAUGGACCUUUCUGUUCUAUAAUAAAUUGAAAAGACAUAUUUAAAUAGAAAUGUCUUUUUUUAACACAGUUUUUGUAAUGUGUCAUAUAAUGAAAAGGCAUUUCUAUAUUGUAAUAAAAAGAAAAGUCGGAUAGGCGAAGAUGUGUCUCUUUAUGUUAGCAUUGUUCACUUAUGUAUACCAGGCGUAAAACUACCUAGACGCAAGUGGCAGUAGCGUCCUUUUUUCGUAGUAUCGUUUGAUGUGCGGGGACUGCGGGGUAAAGGAGAAGUUCGUGGCACGUUGUAAGCACAAUCAGUUGCGCCUAGGCAGCCGAGACGAAAGCCGACGUCUAUGCGACGCUCGUCUCCGUGUUUUUUACGGAAAUAUGUCUAAUCAAGCGAGAUCUUCGAGGUGCUCAAAAAUAAUUUCGUUAGUACAACCAACUAGUUCCAGUGAAACUAAUUACUUGAAUAACGAAAUUUUGAAUAACGAUGCUAUGGAUAACCAAAUGUUGAAUAAUGAUACUUUUGAGAUUUUGAAUAACCAGAUUUUGAAUAACGAGAUUUUGAAUGACGAGAUUUUAAAAUAAAAAUUGAUUUAAUUGGAUUUUGAUUCAGACGAUUCAAUUUUUGAUAAAGAUUUUAUACCUUCAAGUUUAGAACUGCAAAAAAGUUCCGAAGAUUCAGACUGCUCAAUGGACAUCAUUCCUAACUCUCAGCCGAUUAAUAUUAUCAUUCCGGAGUCACCCGAAGAGUCUCAUCAAAAUUGUUCGGAAAAUCUAACGAAGAAAGGGCAAGUUAGGAAACGUAAAAAGUAUGAUAAGACACCAGCACAGAGGAAACAAAUGGAAAAAAUUGCAAAUAUAGAAAAUAAGUAUCAGUUAAAACCUGGAUGUAAUAUGAUUACUAAGUCAAAAUUAAUAGGGAUUAAGCAGCCAUAAAAACAUUUAUUUAAUUAGAAAGAAGAAGUAAUAGAAUAAGUUUUUUAUGUAGUUGAUUUGAUUUCAAUUGGAGUGAUCUCAAACAAUUCUUUUGGAAUGUUCACUAAAUCCCAAGCAUAAUUUCAUAGAAUUUCAAGAAUUGGGCCCUCAGGAACAUAUGUAUACUAAUACUCUGAAUUUAUUGAGCUACCAAAGCUGUGAUUGUCGUUUUAGUACUGCAAAUUUUUAAAAUUUGCAAACUUUCAGUAUAAGUAUAAUUUCUUCUUAGACUUUUAUGAUGUUUAAUUAUUAUGUCAAUAUAAAAUAAAUUAUUUCGUAACGUGUUUUUUUUCAUUUUGUUUUAAACUCCAAUUCAUAGAUGAAAAACGAAAAAUUUUAUUAUAUAAUAUAAUACAUUUUUUUAAUAAUAGUAAUAAUAACUUGAACAGCAGCUAAUGGCUAAAAAUGUGUUUGUUAAAUAGUAAAUUACAACCAAUUUUUACAUUCUUACUAAGUAGUAAAGACGGCUCUUAAAGUUUCUGAGUUGAAAAGACACAUAUAGCCAUAUACGUCUUUUCAAUACAGUAUUCAAGAUUUUUCUAUAUUUUUUUUACUAAGAAGAAAAAUAAAAUUUUAAUUAUUAACGAUAUUAAAUAAAAAAUAAAUAUAAUAAAUACGUAUACACAUAGAUCUCACUUAUUUACACAUUUUACAACCGUAAAAGUAUAUAAUAUCUUAACCUCUUUCGCGCAGCAAACUUUUUAAAUUGAAAAUUACAAACUAUUUUUUUUCUCCGUUUUCAAGUUAGUGCAGAAACGUCAUUUCUCCGUAUGACGGCAGAUUACUGCCUGUCUGUCUGUGAUUUUUUUUUCAAAAAUACCAUCUUCUAUUUCUCUUAAAAUUAUGAAAUAAUAAAGUAUGGCAUGUGCGCAAAGACAAUCUUAUACAAUGUACAGUCGGGGGCAUAUAAAAUACUAGAUAUUGCCUAGGGUUUCGCUCCCGAAUUUUGAGAUAAAAUAUAGCCUAUAGCAAUCUUGGAUAACGUACCUUUGUAAUGGUGAAAUAAAUUUUAAAAUCAGUUUUAUAUUAAUUUGCGAUUUCCCUAUUGGGUCCCGCGUCUGAGGAAAUAAUCCCGCCUUUUUACCCAUUAUGUCAAAAAUUCCCGCUUUGCCAAAAAAAAAAAAUCUGGAAACGCUGGU